UUUCCGUAGGUGAACCUGCGGAAGGAUCAUUAUUGUAUAACCGAGGUGCGAGGGCUGUCGCUGACCCGAAAGGUCGUGCACGCCCGAGUGCCCUCACACACAUCCAUCUCACCCAUAUGUGCACCACCGCGUGGGUCCCCCUUUGGCUUGUUCGGAGGGGGGCUUACGUUUUCACACAAACUUUGUAUGCAGUGUAGAAUGUAUUUUUUGUUUUUGCGAUCACGCAAUCAAUACAACUUUCAACAACGGAUCUCUUGGUUCUG
rnacentral:misc_RNA from 1 species